GAGUUUGAUCGUGGCUCAGGAUGAACGCUAGCGGCAGGCUUAACACAUGCAAGUCGAGGGGUAUAGGUUUUCGGACCUAGAGACCGGCGCACGGGUGCGUAACGCGUAUGCAAUCUGCCUUUUACUGAGGGAUAGCCCAGAGAAAUUUGGAUUAAUACCUCAUAGUAUUAUUGAAUGGCAUCAUUUAAUAAUUAAAGUUCCAACGGUAAAGAUGAGCAUGCGUCCCAUUAGCUAGAUGGUAAGGUAACGGCUUACCAUGGCGACGAUGGGUAGGGGUCCUGAGAGGGAGAUCCCCCACACUGGUACUGAGACACGGACCAGACUCCUACGGGAGGCAGCAGUGAGGAAUAUUGGUCAAUGGACGCAAGUCUGAACCAGCCAUGCCGCGUGCAGGAUGACGGUCCUAUGGAUUGUAAACUGCUUUUG
rnacentral:rRNA from 1 species